UACGUAGGGGGCAAGCGUUGUCCGGAAUCAUUGGGCGUAAAGCGCGUGUAGGCGGUUCGGUAAGUCGGCUGUGAAAGUCCAGGGCUCAACCCUGGGAUGCCGGUCGAUACUGCCGGACUAGAGUUCGGAAGAGGCGAGUGGAAUUCCCGGUGUAGCGGUGAAAUGCGUAGAUAUCGUUUGGAACGCCAAUGGUGAAAACAGGUUGCUGGGGAUGUGCUGACGCUGAGACACGAAAGCCAGGGGAGCAAACGGG
rnacentral:rRNA from 1 species